AUUUGCCUUCAUAUAUAUAUUUAUUUAUUUCAUAUUUUUAGUAGUCUGAAAAUUGUUACAUGCCUUGGUUCUGGGCAGUUUGCAGACAUACUAAUUUCUGUGUAUAGACAUCCAAGAAAAAUAAGAAGGCUCCAAGAGACUGUAACAAAUAGUUAUACAGUCCUUCUACUUUAACAGAUACAGAGCAUGCAUUUCCUUUGUAUAGUUGAGUACUAAGUUGAACAAAGUUGACUUAGGUACAGUUUUUUUCUUAUUGCUAUAUGGUAGUCCCCACUUAUUUAUGGAAAUAUGUUCUAAUACCCCCAGUGGAUGCCUGAAACCACAGAUAGUAUUGAACCAUAUAUAUAUUUAUAUAUUUUCAAUCUGAUAACCAAGAUGGCUACUUAAUAACUAAUGGGCUGGUAGCAUAUACAGUGUGGGUGCAAAGGGAUGAUUCAUGUCCCAGAUGGAGUAGGAUGGUGCAAGAUUUUAUCAUGCUGCUUAGAAAGGCAUGCAAUUUAAAACUUAUGAAUUAUUGAUUUCUGGAAUUUUCCAUUUAAUAUUUUUUGGACUCUGUUUGUGGGUAACUGAAACCAUGGGAAGCAAAACCACAGAUAGGGGGUUUGUAAUAUUAUUGUAUUUAAUAAUUAUACUUGCACUUAAAAAUGAGAAUCAAAGGGAAAAUAGGCGACUUUUAAAAUUAUGAAGGUUGAUCUGUUUGAUCCCUUACCUGCAGUGAGAUGAGUGAUUUGAGUUCUUUGAGGAGAUACUGAGUAUCCUUGGUGCCCAAAGAAGGCACUAAAGUACUGUCUUCUCAGUGCUGUUGUCACUUCUAACCUCUAUCAAAUGAUACAGCGAGAACUUUGUUCCUUGGAUGUUUGGUGAUCUGUAGCUUGGGGUAGGAUUCCCUUUUACUGGGUUUUAUUACGUCUCUUAUAUACAGGAAGAGAGAAGGUGAGAAGGAGCUACCAAAUCUGAGCAGAAAAGACCUCUGGCAAUACAGUUUGUAACACUAAACCCCAUGCAGUUCUGGAAAUGCUAUAUUUCAUGGUCUUAGAAUAGGAGAUAAAUUUGAUGUAUGUUAUCUAAAACUAUAUAACAUAAUUUGGAGUCCACAGGGAGCAUGUCUGAAGCAGCUCCAUAAGUUGAAAGCUGUUGAUGGGGUGGCCUAUGUAUUUUUAGAUUUAAGUGGCGUUACACAUUAACUGAAACAGUUUAAAAAAGAAGUUGAACAGUGGGCAGAACUCCUAGCAAAGAGCUCAUGGAGUCCCACCAGAAGAGCAACCAAGAUGAAGAUGAAGAUACCGAGCCGGAAUCUCAACAAUUAUAUCCGUGAAACCAAGUUGGACUUCCAGAGAGUUCCAAGAAACUAUGAUCCUACCUUACAUCCUUUUGAGGUCCCACGAGAAUAUGUAAGAGCUUUAAAUGCUACCAAAAUGGAAUGAGUAUUUGCAAAACCAUUCCUUGCUUUGCUGGAUGGUCACCAAGAUGGAGUCAGUUGCCUUGGCAAAGCAUCCAAAGAACCUAGCUAUUGUCCUUUCUGGGGUGUGUGAUGGAGAGGUUAGAAUUUGGAACCUGACGCAUCAGAAAUGUAUUCGUACAAUACAAGCACAUGAAGGCUUUGUAUAAGGAAUAUGUACUCGCUUUUGUGGGACUUCUUUUUUCACCGUUGGUGAUGACAAAACUGUGAAACAGUGGAAAAAGAAUGGACCAGGCUAUGGAGAUGAGGAAGAGCCGUUACAUACAACAUUAGGAAAGACGGUGUAUGCUGGGAUUGAGCAUCACUGGAAAGAAGCUAUUUUUGCCACAUGUGGACAGCAAGUAGAUGUUUGGGAUGAACAAAGAACUAAUCCUAUAUCUUCAAUGACCUGGGGAUUUGACAGUGUAAGUAGUGUUAAAUUUAACCCAAUUGAGACUUGGGAAGUUGUGCGUCUGACAGGAAUAUAGUACUGUACGAUAUGAGGCAAGCUGCUCCUUUGAAAAGGUUAUCUUAGAUAUGAGAACAAAUACAAUCUGUUGGAACCCUGCGGAAGCUUUCAUUUUUACAGCAGCAAAUGAAGAUUAUAACUUACAUACUUUUGAUAUAUGUGCACUGGACACUCCUUUAAUGUUCCAUAUGGAUCAUGUAUCUGCAGUGCUUGACGUGGAGUACUCGCCCACUGGGAAAGAGUUUUUGUCUGCUAGUUUCAAUAAAGCUAUUUGAAUCUUUCCUACAGACAAAAGUCGAAGCAGGAAGGUAUAUCACACAAAGCGAAUGCAACAUGUUAUCUGUGUAAAAUGGACUUCUGAUAGCAAGUAUAUUAAGUGUGGAUCUGAUGAAAUGAACAUUUGCCUGUGGAAAGCUAAUGCUUCUGAAAAAUUCGGUAUGCUUACAUCACGAGAAAAAGCAGCCAAGGAUUAUAACUAGAAAUUGAAGGAGAAAUUUCAGCAGCAUCCUCACAUAAAACGUACAGCUCGUCAUCGACAUCUACCAAAAUCUGUCUACAGCCAGAUUCAGGAACAGUGCGUCAUGAAAGAAGCUCGUCAGAGAAAGGAAGUUAAUCGUAUUAAACACAGCAAGCCUGGAUAUGUGCCAAUUGUGUCAGAGAAGAAGCAGCACGUAGGGGCAGUUGUAAAAUAAUUAUUAACAAUCCUGAUGUAUAAUUAUUUGUUACUUUUGAUUUGAGAACUCUACAUAUAAAAGUGCUGGGACUAGAUUAAUUGCAUACAUUUUGGUUAUAUGUGUAGAGCUUUAUUGUUGCUCCUUUUAGCUGCCCUGAAAAAUGAUCCUUAAAGGUGGCCUAGUUGAUAAGACUGUCUAACUGUUUUAUCCUUAAUCUGCAUUCUUCUUUCAUUGAAGAAUACAGUAUUUGCAACUAACUGAUUUUUUCCUGUUUUAAUUACAGAUAUACUUACUUUCUCUCUGAUCUAUUGUUGUAGACACUGCACAUUCAAAUUGACAUUUAAGACCAAACAUCGCUUAUGUUAUCUUUGAUAUAUAACUUUGAAUAAUGAUUACAAUGAUGUUUCUUCCUGUGAUUCCACAUAACAUUUAGAAAAAUGAUGUCAACUUUUUAUAACUGAAUGUAUUUCUAGUGCUUUACUUAUAUUCGACUUUUUGACUCUUACAAAACAAUCAGCCUGCAUUUAUAUAACUUUUAUAAAUAAUAUAAUUUGGGUCGAGUUAAGAUAAUAAAACUUUCUUUCA